rnacentral:rRNA from 1 species
CAGUCGCGUCGGCUGGAAAUCAACCUUGCUUUUGCUGGGUGUACUUUCUAGUUGACGGGUCAGCAUCAAUUUUGACCGCUGGAAAAAGGCUUGGGGAAUGUGGCAGCUCCGGCUGUGUUAUAGCCCUUCGUCACAUACAGCGGUUGGGAUUGAGGAACUCAGCACGCCGCAAGGCCGGGUUUCGACCACGUUCGUGCUUAGGAUGCUGGCAUAAUGGCUUCAAGCGACCCGUCUUGAAACACGGACCAAGGAGUCUAACGAUAUGUGCG